GUCCUAGCCCUAAACGGUGCUUACUUGGUGUGGGGGAGGUCGACCCCCUCCCGUGCCGUAGCUAACGCGUUAAGUAAGCCGCCUGGGAAGUACGGUCGCAAGAUUAAACUACAAAGAAAUUGACGGGGCCCGGCACAAGCGGUGGAGCAUGUGGCUUAAUUCGAUGCAACGCGAAGAACCUUACCUGGCCUUGACAUCUAUCGUGAAAGGUGAUGAAAGUCAUCGACGGUCCGAAAGGAUGCUGGGGAUAGACAGGUGCUGCAUGGUUGUCGU
rnacentral:rRNA from 1 species